rnacentral:rRNA from 1 species
AUGAUGUGGUUUAAUUCGAUGCAACGCGAAAACCUUACCCACCUUGACAUGGCAGGAAUCCUAAGAGAUUGGGAGUGCUCGAAAGAGAACCUGCACACAGGUGCUGCAUGGCUGUCGUCAGCUCGUGUCGUGAGAUGUUGGGUUAAGUCCCGCAACGAGCGCAACCCUUGCCAUUAGUUGCUACGAAAGGGCACUCUAAUGGGACUGCCGGUGACAAACCGGAGGAAGGUGGGGAUGACGUCAAGUCCUCAUGGCCCUUAUAGGUGGGGCUACACACGUCAUACAAUGGCCGGUACAGAGGGUAGCCAACCCGCGAGGGGAGCCAAUCCCACAAAGCCGGUCGUAGUCCGGAUCGCAGUCUGCAACUCGACUGCGUGAAGUCGGAAUCGCUAGUAAUCGCGGAUCAGCAUGUCGCGGUGAAUACGUUCCCGGGUCUU